AGUGAACGCUGGCGGUAGGCCUAACACAUGCAAGUCGAACGGCAGCACAGGAGAGCUUGCUCUCUGGGUGGCGAGUGGCGGACGGGUGAGGAAUACAUCGGAAUCUACUUUUUCGUGGGGGAUAACGUAGGGAAACUUACGCUAAUACCGCAUACGACCUACGGGUGAAAGCAGGGGAUCUUCGGAACUUGCGCGAUUGAAUGAGCCGAUGUCGGAUUAGCUAGUUGGCGGGGUAAAGGCCCACCAAGGCGACGAUCCGUAGCUGGUCUGAGAGGAUGAUCAGCCACACUGGAACUGAGACACGGUCCAGACUCCUACGGGAGGCAGCAGUGGGGAAUAUUGGACAAUGGGCGCAAGCCUGAUCCAGCCAUACCGCGUGGGUGAAGAAGGCCUUCGGGUUGUAAAGCCCUUUUGUUGGGAAAGAAAUCCAGCUGGUUAAUACCCGGUUGGGAUGACGGUACCCAAAGAAUAAGCACCGGCUAACUUCGUGCCAGCCGCCGCCGUAACAC
rnacentral:rRNA from 1 species